rnacentral:misc_RNA from 1 species
AACCAUUCUCACCUGCGGCUAGACCUGCGGAAGGAUCAUUACCGAGUUUACAACUCCCAAACCCCUGUGAACAUACCUAUACGUUGCCUCGGCGGAUCAGCCCGCGCCCUGUAAAAAGGGACGGCCCGCCCGAGGACCCUAAACUCUGUUUUUAGUGGAACUUCUGAGUAAAACAAACAAAUAAAUCAAAACUUUUAACAAUGGAUCU